rnacentral:ncRNA from 1 species
ACCGUUAUUGAGAGAUAACGCUGAACGCACAGAAGUCAGCAGAGGUCAUAGUAGCUGUCUUUCAGCGAAGGGC